GACGAACGCUGGCGGCGUGCCUAAUACAUGCAAGUUGAGCGAUGAAGAUUGGUGCUUGCACCAAUUUGCAGAGCAGCGAACGGGUGAGUAACGCGUGGGGAAUCUGCCUUUGAGCGGGGGACAACAUUUGGAAACGAAUGCUAAUACCGCAUAACAACUUUAAACAUAAGUUUUAAGUUUGAAAGAUGCAAUUGCAUCACUCAAAGAUGAUCCCGCGUUGUAUUAGCUAGUUGGUGAGGUAAGGGCUCACCAAGGCGAUGAUACAUAGCCGACCUGAGAGGGUGAUCGGCCACAUUGGGACUGAGACACGGCCCAAACUCCUACGGGAGGCAGCAGUAGGGAAUCUUCGGCAAUGGACGAAAGUCUGACCGAGCAACGCCGCGUGAGUGAAGAAGGUUUUCGGAUCGUAAAACUCUGUUGGUAGAGAAGAACGUUGGUGAGAGUGGAAAGCUCAUCAAGUGACGGUAACUACCCAGAAAGGGACGGCUAACUACGUG
rnacentral:rRNA from 1 species